CGCGUAGGCGGCUUUUUAAGUCAGAUGUGCAAUCCCCGAGCUCAACUUGGGAACUGCAUCUGAGACUGGAAGGCUCGAGUGCUGGAGAGGGUGGUAGAAUUCCACGUGUAGCGGUGAAAUGCGUAGAGAUGUGGAGGAAUACCAGUGGCGAAGGCGGCCACCUGGACAGUAACUGACGCUGAGGCGCGAAAGUGUGGGUAGCAAACA
rnacentral:rRNA from 1 species